AAAAAAAAAAAAAAGGAGUUUCGAUUCCUGGAAACAAUUGAUCCAUUGUAAAAUCGUAACUAGACUCAAAUUUCUCCAAACAAAAGUGAAGGAAAGGGGGAGAAAGACUUUAGAUCAGAGAAAAAGAAAAGGUACAUUAUUUAAAAGUGAAGGAAUCAACCAAUUUCCCGUCUACUUUCCCUUUUAACUCUCAGGAAACAACAACGAAAGAACAGAGGGAACACACUCGCAUUGAAGACAUGCUUAUUUAUCUUAAGUGUCACAUAUAUCAUAAAACUGAGAAGCAGGAGAAAACCCAAAAAAAAAAAAAGA
rnacentral:misc_RNA from 1 species